rnacentral:lncRNA from 1 species
CCUCACGUUCAGGGGUUGUUGUUGUGGCUCAAGCACUUUGACGGGUAGAUGGCACUCAGGUCAGUACCCCUAAAUGGGGAGGCUCUGGCCAGUCACUGCCUUGGCUCUGGGAGCCUGGACUAUAUUUGGAACUCUUAGGGGCCCUGGGUCAUUGUGAAGUCUCCAGCGAGGAAUCUGCCUCUCAUUUGCUUGGAUGAAACACUGUUGAGCAGUUUGGGCUGUGCUGGUUCUGAAGAGUGAAGCAGCAUUGCAGGGAAAUGAAGAUGGCAUAUGGAAAGGCGAUUCUUAUACUCAGAAGGAAAAGUUCCCAUGGAAGCCAUGGAUUCAUUCAUGACAAAGAUCCCAGCCAUGUUGCCCUCAGUAGCCCUCCCUCCUUGGACUGUGACAGUUUCUCCAUCUUCUUUUGUUUACAUGACCUUGAUCGCUUUGAGGAGUACAGGGCCAUAGGUUCCAGCAGUUCUCAUGACCCAGGUUACCACACAUUGCUAGACAGGUGGGAGGCUCUAGCUGAACUGUCCUGAAUCCCCAGCCGCAGGCUGUCUGACCCACCCAGGCAGUGUUUCCUAGCUGAUUGGCAAAAAUCCAAAAUGUCUGUGCACACUGCUGGUGAGGCUAUGGUAAAACAAUUACAUAUUUCUGGUUGGUGUGUCCUUGUGAAGUGAAAUUUGGCAGUAAGUAACAAAAUUACUCAUGCAUUUCCCACGGAUCAGCAUCUCCACUUGACAUAAAAU